AUUUAAAUAGUUUAUAAUAAAAUAUUGAUUUGUGGGAUCAAAGAUAUGAAAUUUCAUUUUAGAUA
rnacentral:tRNA from 1 species